GAAUUUUAUAUAAAAAUAUUUUUAAUUAGUUUAGAAUAAAUAUUAAAUAUUUAAUUGGGAGGAUUAUUAAACUUAUUAAACUUUAAUAUAUAAAAACAUAAAUUAAUGAAUUUUAAUAAAGAUUGAUUUAAAUAUAUAAAGAGAAUAAAUUACCUUAGGGAUAACAGCGUAAUAUUUUUAAAAAGAUCAUAUUUAUAAAAUUACUUGC
rnacentral:rRNA from 1 species